AUUGAACGCUGGCGGCAGGCCUAACACAUGCAAGUCGAGCGAACGGCGGACGGGUGAGUAAUGUAUGGGGACUGCCCGAUAGAGGGGGAUAACUACUGUAAACGGUAGCUAAUACCGCAUACUAUCGGAUAACCCAUAUGGAAUUAGCUAGUAGGUGGGGUAAUGGCUCACCUAGGCGACGAUCCCUAGCUGGUCUGAGAGGAUGAUCAGCCACACUGGGACUGAGAAACGGCCAAGACACGUACGGAGGAAGCAGUGGGGAAUAUUGCACAAUGGGGGCAAGCCUGAUGCAGCCAGGCCGCGUGUAUGAAGAAGGCCCUAGGGUUGUAAAGUACUUUCAGUCGGGAGGCGUUACCGACAGAAGAAGCACCGGCUAACUCCGUGCCAGCAGCCGCGGUAAUUC
rnacentral:rRNA from 1 species